rnacentral:lncRNA from 1 species
GCCAGCCCCAGCCCCGCGCUGCGCUGCCCGGUCCUCUCCCGGCGGGGUCGGAUCGGCGUGGACAUGGCUGGCCGCGUCCCUAGCCUGCUAGUUCUCCUUGUUUUUCCAAGCAGCUGUUUGGCUUUCCGAAGCCCACUUUCUGUCUUUAAGAGGUUUAAAGAAACUACCAGACCAUUUUCCAAUGAAUGUCUUGGUACCACCAGACCGGUAGUUCCUAUUGAUUCAUCAGAUUUUGCAUUGGAUAUUCGCAUGCCUGGGGUUACACCUAAACAGGAGAGGAACAUCAGUGUGAA